rnacentral:rRNA from 1 species
AUUGAACGCUGGCGGCAGGCCUAACACAUGCAAGUCGAGCGGAUGAAGGGAGCUUGCUCCUGGAUUCAGCGGCGGACGGGUGAGUAAUGCCUAGGAAUCUGCCUGGUAGUGGGGGAUAACGUCCGGAAACGGGCGCUAAUACCGCAUACGUCCUGAGGGAGAAAGUGGGGGAUCUUCGGACCUCACGCUAUCAGAUGAGCCUAGGUCGGAUUAGCUAGUUGGUGGGGUAAAGGCCUACCAAGGCGACGAUCCGUAACUGGUCUGAGAGGAUGAUCAGUCACACUGGAACUGAGACACGGUCCAGACUCCUACGGGAGGCCGCAGUGGGGAAUAUCGGACAAUGGGCGAAAGCCUGAUCCAGCCAUGCCGCGUGUGUGAAGAAGGUCUUCGGAUUGUAAAGCACUUUAAGUUGGGAGGAAGGGCAGUAAGUUAAUACCUUGCUGUUUUGACGUUACCAACAGAAUAAGCACCGGCUAACUUCGUG